rnacentral:misc_RNA from 1 species
GAUGAAGAACGCAGCGAAAUGCGAUAAGUAAUGUGAAUUGCAGAAUUCCGUGAAUCAUCGAAUCUUUGAACGCACAUUGCGCCCUCUGGUAUUCCGGGGGGCAUGCCUGUCCGAGCGUCAUUUGUACCUUCAAGCUUUGCUUGGUGUUGGGUGUUUGUCUCGCCUUUGCGUGUAGACUCGCCUUAAAAUAAUUGGCAGCCGGCGUAUUGAUUUCGGAGCGCAGUACAUCUCGCGCUUUGCACUCAUAACGACAGCGUCCAAAAGUACAUUUUACACUCUUGACCUCGGAUCAGGUAGGGAUACCCGCUGAACUUAAGCAUAUCAAUAAGCGGAGGA